UACAGAGGGGGCAAGCGUUGUUCGGAAUUACUGGGCGUAAAGGGCGCGUAGGCGGCCGCCUAAGUCAGACGUGAAAUCCCUCGGCUCAACCGGGGAACUGCGUCUGAUACUGGGUGGCUUGAAUCCGGGAGAGGGAUGCGGAAUUCCAGGUGUAGCGGUGAAAUGCGUAGAUAUCUAGAGGAACACCGGUGGCGAAGGCGGCAUCCUGGACCGGCAUUGACGCUGAGGCGCGAAAGCCAGGGGAGCAAACGGG
rnacentral:rRNA from 1 species